rnacentral:rRNA from 1 species
AAUGCGCGAAAGCGUGACGGAGCAAUGCCGCGUGUGGGAUGAAGCGGUUCGCCGUGUAAACCACUGUCAGGGUCUAGGAAGAACUGACCAGACCCAGAGGAAGGGCCGGCUAAUCUCGUGCCAGCAGCCGCGGUAAGACGAGAGGCCCAAGCGUUAAUCGGAAUCACUGGGCUUAAAGGGUGCGUAGGCGGACUUGUAGGUAUGUCGUGAAAUCCCUCGGCUCAACCGGGGAACUGCGGUGUAAACCACAAGUCUUGAGGUAGGUAGAGGUUGUCGGAACGUUCGGUGGAGCGGUGAAAUGCGUUGAUAUCGAACGGAACGCCUAAGGUGAAGACAGGCAACUGGGCCUUACCUGACGCUGAGGCACGAAAGCGUGGGGAUCAAACAGGAUU